rnacentral:rRNA from 1 species
CGCUAUCACUCCUACGGGGAGGCAGCAGUGGGGAAUAUUGGACAAUGGGGGAAACCCUGAUCCAGCAAUGCCGCGUGUGUGAAGAAGGCCUUCGGGUUGUAAAGCACUUUCAAUAGGGAGGAAAAGCUAUGCGUUAAUAGCGUAUAGCCGUGACGUUACCUAUAGAAGAAGCACCGGCUAACUCCGUGCCAGCAGCCGCGGUAAUACGGAGGGUGCAAGCGUUAAUCGGAAUUACUGGGCGUAAAGCGCGCGUAGGCGGUUUGCUAAGUCAGAUGUGAAAUACCCCGGGCUCAACCUGGGAAUGGCAUUUGAGACUGGUAGGCUAGAAUGUGGUAGAGGUGAGUGGAAUUCCAGGUGUAGCGGUGAAAUGCGUAGAGAUCUGGAGGAACAUCAGUGGCGAAGGCGACUCACUGGGCCAUUAUUGACGCUGAGGUGCGAAAGCGUGGGUAGCAAACAGGAUUAGAUACCCUGGUAG